rnacentral:rRNA from 1 species
UCGGACGAUUCAUCUUUUGUAGCAAUAUAGAAGAUGGGGAGUGGCGCACGGGUGAGUAACAUAUAGAUGAUCUGCCUUUCAGACAGGGACAACUCAGGGAAACUUGAGCUAAUACCAGAUAAGACCACAUGAAGGGAUUCACGUGACCAAAGGGGGAGCAAUCUCCUGCUGGAAGAUGAGUCUAUAUCCUAUCAGCUAGUUGGUGGGGUAACGGCCUACCAAGGCGAAGACGGGUAGCCGGCCUGAGAGGGUGAACGGCCACACUGGAACUGAGACACGGUCCAGACUCCUACGGGAGGCAGCAGUGAGGAAUUUUCCGCAAUGGGCGCAAGCCUGACGGAGCGACGCCGCGUGAGGGAUGAAGGUUUUCGGAUCGUAAACCUCUUUUAUUAAGGAAAAAGGCUUUAAUGCGAAUAACAUUGAAGUUUGAUUGUACUUGUUGAAUAAGCCCCGGCUAACUACGUGCCAGCAGCCGCGGUAAUACGUAGGGGGCGGGCGUUGUCCGGAGUUACUGGGCGUAAAGCGCGUGUAGGCGGUUAGUUAAGUCAGGUGUGAAACCCUUCAGCUCAACUGAGGAACUGCGCCUGAAACUGACUGACUGGAGUCUUGGAGGGGCAGCCGGAAUUCCUGGUGUAACGGUGAAAUGUGUAGAUAUCAGGAGGAACACCUGUGGCGAAAGCGGGCUUGCUGGACAAUGACUGACGCUGAGACGCUCGAAAGCGUGGGUAGCAAACAGGAUUAGAUACCCUGGUAGGUCCACGCCGUAAACGAUGAAUGCUAGGUGUAGGAGGUAUCGACCCNUUCUGUGCCGGAGUUAACGCAAUAAGCAUUCCGCCUGGGGAGUACGGUCGCAAGACUGAAACUCAAAGGAAUUGACGGGGGCCCGCACAAGCGGUGGAGUAUGUGGUUUAAUUCGACGCAACGCGAAGAACCUUACCAGGGCUUGACAUUGAGUGAAAGAUCUAGAGAUAGAUCCCUCUCUUCGGAGACACGAAAACAGGUGGUGCAUGGCUGUCGUCAGCUCGUGUCGUGAGAUGUUGGGUUAAGUCCCGCAACGAGCGCAACCCCUAUCAUUUGUUGCCAGCACGUUAUGGUGGGAACUCAAAUGAGACUGCCGCGGACAACGCGGAGGAAGGCGGGGAUGACGUCAAGUCAUCAUGCCCCUUAUGUCCUGGGCUACACACGUACUACAAUGGGAUGGACAGAGAGCAGCGAACCCGCGAGGGCAAGCGAACCCCAUAAACCAUCUCCCAGUUCGGAUUGCAGGCUGCAACCCGCCUGCAUGAAGUCGGAAUCGCUAGUAGUCGCUGGUCAGCAUACAGCGGUGAAUACGUUCCCGGGCCUUGUACACACCGCCCGUCACACCACGGAAGUCAUUCACACCCGAAGCCGGUGGGUAAACCGCAAGGAUAUAGCCGUCUAAGGUGGGGGCGAUGAUCUGGGGUG